GGGUUGUACUUCGGUACAGCUAGUGGCGGACGGGUGAGUAACACAUAGGAAUCUGCCCGAGAGUGGGGGAUAACCCAGGGAAACUUGGAUUAAUACCGCAUGAUCUCUACGGAGCAAAGCUGGGGACCUUCGGGCCUGGCGCUUUUGGAGGAGCCUAUGUCUGAUUAGCUUGUUGGUGAGGUAACGGCUCACCAAGGCGACGAUCAGUAACUGGUCUGAGAGGACGACCAGUCACACCGGAACUGAGACACGGUCCGGACUCCUACGGGAGGCAGCAGUGGGGAAUAUUGGACAAUGGGCGAAAGCCUGAUCCAGCAAUGCCGCGUGUGUGAAGAAGGCCUUCGGGUUGUAAAGCACUUUAGGAUGGAAAGAAAAAACUUCAGUUAAUAGCUGAAGUCUUGACGGUACCAUCAGAAUAAGCACCGGCUAACUCUGUGCCAGCAGCCGCGGUAAUACAGAGGGUGCAAGCGUUAAUCGGAUUUACUGGGCGUAAAGCGUGUGUAGGUGGUGGCGUAAGUCGAUUGUGAAAUCCCCGGGCUCAACCUGGGAACUGCUUUCGAUACUGCGUCACUAGAGUACGGUAGAGGGUGGUGGAAUUUCCGGUGUAGCGGUGAAAUGCGUAGAUAUCGGAAGGGACAUCAAUGGCGAAGGCAACCACCUGGGCCUGUACUGACACUGAGACACGAAAGCGUGGGGAUCAAACAGGAUUAGAUACCCUGGUAGUCCACGCCGUAAACGAUGACAACUUGACGUUGGUUUGCUUAGCGAAUCAGUGUCGUAGCUAACGCGAUAAGUUGUCCGCCUGGGGAGUACGGCCGCAAGGUUGAAACUCAAAGGAAUUGACGGGGGCCCGCACAAGCGGUGGAGUAUGUGGUUUAAUUCGAUGCAACGCGAAGAACCUUACCUGGCCUUGACAUGUCCAG
rnacentral:rRNA from 1 species